rnacentral:rRNA from 1 species
CAUGCAAGUCGAACGGUAACAGGAAUCAGCUUGCUGAUUUGCUGACGAGUGGCGGACGGGUGAGUAAUGUCUGGGAAACUGCCUGAUGGAGGGGGAUAACUACUGGAAACGGUAGCUAAUACCGCAUAACGUCGCAAGACCAAAGAGGGGGACCUUCGGGCCUCUUGCCAUCGGAUGUGCCCAGAUGGGAUUAGCUAGUAGGUGGGGUAACGGCUCACCUAGGCGACGAUCCCUAGCUGGUCUGAGAGGAUGACCAGCCACACUGGAACUGAGACACGGUCCAGACUCCUACGGGAGGCAGCAGUGGGGAAUAUUGCACAAUGGGCGCAAGCCUGAUGCAGCCAUGCCGCGUGUAUGAAGAAGGCCUUCGGGUUGUAAAGUACUUUCAGCGGGGAGGAA